AUGUUCCUCUAAUCAGGUGACACGUGAUCCUCGCUUUGAAUUUUUAUGUGGGACACUUGAUACAGACGGGUGAGGCUUAAUUAUUUUUUAUCUCGUUUCCAUUAAUAGACAACCUUGUUUGAUAAAUUGGUAUGGCUUUAGAAAUUUUAGUUUCCCGCGGGAUGUUAAUGCUUUGAUCAUCCUUCUUCAGAUCCAUCUAUUUAACUCAUUGAUUUCUCAUUUCAUUUAAUGCUUCUCAACAUGGUUUCUUUUACACUUGAAGACUAUUAUCUGCUCCUGUUUAAUGACAUGUGUUAAUCCUUAGCUCAUGACAUAUUGAAACUUUCCCUUUUAGCUUUUUUGAAGUUUGAACUAAAACUAAAACUAAAAUUUGGGUACUGGUAUUAUAGCUGAAACUGAAAAUCUAAAUAUUAUGGGUGUUAGUUGUACUAAAAAUUUGUGAAGAUUUUAGUAUUUUAACCUCAUAAAAAUUAUUCAGACAAACCAAGUCUGUCCAAAGAUGUGCAUAUGUAUGAAAAGCUACAAAUGAAGACUUCCACUCCAGGUACAAGAAAGGAAUUGUCCAGCAGUACACAGACAUUUAGAGGUUCAGCAAUGAAAGUUAAAUAGAGAAGAGCUCUCUUAGCGAGGAGUAGAAUGAAAACCAAAAAGAAAUUGUAGAAUGUAAUAUGCCCAACAUGCUGCAACAUCACGAGUUCUAGUAGGGUUUAGUGUGGUAGUGUAGUCUAAUUAAUACUCAACUCCUUGGUCUUGAAAAGGAAGUGGCUCACAUAGUGUUUGGGACCAUUGAGAAUUCUACUUUCUUUUUCUUCCAAAAUUUUAAUAACGAUGACUAUGUGCUCAAAUAUCCACUUCCUUUUAACCAAGGGGAUAAGGCCAGGGCCUAAAACUAAGCAAUCCUUUCUUUACAUAUGCAUUUUCCUUUUAUUUUUGUAUGGCUACUCUUGCUUCUUUGCUUAAGUCAUCAUGGUAUAGUGCAAAUGCUUUCAUGAGAACACAAUGGUUCAUCUGUUUUUUAUAUUAAAAAAAAAAAAAAAAAAAAAAAAAACUUCAAAUGAAAUACAGAUCAUACUUUUUACUGCUCUAAAAGUCUAUUGAGAUUUGACCGAUCAAACAAAAGCUAAAUUUUGUUCUUGUAGAUACCACUAUUUUAUUUCUCAACAAAGCAUCUAAUCAUACUAACACAGACAUUUAGAGGUUCAACAAUGAAAGUUUAAUAGAGAAGAGCUCUCUUAGCGAGGAGUAGAAUGAAAACGAAAAAGAAAUUGUAGAAUGUAAUAUGUCCAACAUGCUGCAACAUCACGAGUUCUACUAGGGUUUAAUGUGGUAGUAUAGUCUAAUUAAUACUCAACUCCUUGGUCUUUAAAAGGUAGUGGCUCACAUAGUGUUUGAGACCAUUGAGAAUUCUACUUUCUUUUUCUUCCAAAAUUUUAAUAACGAUGACUAUGUCCUCAAAUAUCCACUUCCUUUUAAUAACGAUGACUAUGUACUCUUGCUUCUUUGCUUAAGUCAUCAUGGUAUAGUGCAAAUGCAUGCUUUCAUGAGAACAUAGUGGUUCAUCUGUUUUUUAUAUUAAAAAAAAAAAAAUUCAAAUGAAAUACAGACCAUACUUUUUACUGCUCUAAAAGUCUAUUGAGAUUUGACCGGUCAAACAAAAGCUAAACUUUGUUCUUGUGGAUACCACUUAGAAUUUUAUUUCUCAACAAAGCAUCUAAUCAUACUCUUAUGCAUACUGCUAAUAAUCUGUGUUAUUGGCUUUUUAAUAUUUUUCGUAUAAUAUAAUAUGUUCCUCUAAUCAGGUGACACGUGAUCCUCGCUUUGAAUUUUUAUGUGGGACACUUGAUACAGACGGGUGAGGCUUAAUUGUUUUUUAUCUCGUUUCCAUUAAUAGACAACCUUGUUUGAUAAAUUGGUAUGGCUUUAGAAAUUUCAGGGAAUAAAAAAACGGACCCCUUUAAGAUGUUAAUAUGUAAGAUUGGACUAGUUAGGGAACUAUUGGUAAAAAAGGCCCAACCGCUGAUUUCCGUGUCUUAUGGACUAGUUUACCCCUCGACUGAUGCAAAGACUCGUUUGCAUAUCACAAACACAUAAACAGACUUAUUUGCAUCAGUCACAACACAACAUAAAAUGCAAAGACUUGUUUGCAUACUCGCAACAACAACCACAUAACCAUAAAAUGUAAAGACUUGUUUGCAUCAGUCACAACACACAUAAACAUUAAAUGCAAAAACUUGUUUGCAUACUCGCAACGACAACCACAUAAACUAUAAAAUGUAAAGACUUGUUUACAUCAGUCACAACACACAUAAAUAUUAAUUGCAAAAACUUAUUUGCAUAGUCGAAACAACAACCACCACAUACCAUAAAAUGCAAACAUUUGUUUGCAUAAACCAGGGUAUUAUCGGUAGUAAAAGGGCCGUUUUUACAAUAUCAACGUUAAAUGGGUAUUUUCUUAUUCCACAAAUGCUUAAUUAGGGCCAAUUUUAUAAAUUGGGCCUUAGCUGGGCCAUUUGUGUUUUAUGGAUGCUUAAUGAGGUCCCAGAACCAUUUCCAUGUAGAAAUUUUAGUUUCUUGCGGGAUGUUAAUUCUUUGAUCAUCCUUCUUCAGAUCCAUCUAUUUAACUCAUUGAUUUCUCAUUUCAUUUAAUGCUUCUCAACAUGGUUUCUUUUACACUUGAAGACUAUUAUCUGCUCCUGUUUAAUGACCUGUGCUAAUCCUUAGCUCAUGGUUUCUUUUAUUAUAUUAAUCUUUUGAGAUAUGAAUAUAUCUAUAAUAUAUUUUAUUUACACAUAAAAUUUAUCAAUAUUUUGAGAAUUAUUGUUAAUAUCAAGUUUUUGAAAUUUUUGAGAUUUGUAACUUUGUAAGUAUGGCUAUGUUUGGUUCACGGAAUUCAGAUUCCGGGAAAAGAGGGGGUAUUAAUGGAAGAGAUAACAAUAGAAGAAAGAUAAAGCAAUCAAAAUGCGGAGAUAUAGAGUUUAAGAUGGAAGGAAUUCUAAGGAGAUCAAAACACUUGACAUAUUUGUCCGGACAAAAAUAGAAACUGGUUUCCAUUUUAUAAAAAAAGAAAACAUAUUCCUUUAUUUUAGCCUUCACCGGAAUCUAAAUUCUGAUCUUCCGUCCAAAAUUAGCGGGUUUUAGCCUUACUUUGGAACCAAACGUAGCCUAUGAUUAAAAUAAUUAAAAUUAGUAUGUCAGCCAGAUUCCUCCCAAAAUCACAGGACCAAAACCUGAAUAUUCUAAGGGUAGAACUGUAAAACACCCAAAACGUUCUUCCCAUUUUACCCUCACUUGCAUAAAAAGCUUUCCAAGUUCCAAAUGAAGAAAUAAAUGCUUCUUCAAUCCAAACACCCCCUUAACUUUUUUGUGAAAAGAAAACUAUAACGGGUUACUUCUCUUCUUCUUCUUCUUCUUCAUCGAGCGAGCGAGGGAGUAAGCAAAACUUCUCUUUCUUCCCAUCGAUUCUUCUUCUUCUUCAUCGAGCGAGCGAGCGAGCAAGCAAAACUUCUCUUUCUUCCCAUCGAUUCUUCUUCUUGUUCUUCCCCAAAACCCCAGAAACCAACCAAUCAAAUUCUAGGGUUUUUCACAAUUUUAAAAAAGAGGAAGAAGAAGAAGAAGAAGAAGACGAAGAAAAUGAACAAAAGAAAUAAGUUUCAAAUCAUGGAUUCUCUACUCUUUGUGAGUAGUAGUAACUAGUAUUUAGUAGUAAUAGUAGUAUAAACUGGUUAACAAGUUUGAGAGAUUUUAAUGGCCAAGUGUGUUUACCAAGUUUGGAAAGGAAACAAUGUAAGCCUUAUUUCUUUCUAUUUAAACUAUUUAUUAGUUACUUUUUUUUUUUUAGUGAAUUGGGUUUCUUGGAAUUGAAUUGAUUUAAUGUUAUUUAGUUUAAGUUAUAUUGAAUUUGAUGUUCUUGGAUGGUUUUAACAUUUGGGUAUGCUUUACUUUGCUUGUUAAAUGGUCGAAUUGGAUUAAUAGGGUAUUGUUCAUAUGAACAUUUUAGUUUAAUUUGGGGUUUGUUCUAGUUCAUAAAUGGGUUGACUUUAGCAUUUUGUUAUGUGAUUAGGACUUGCUUCCACUAAGUUUAUUUUAUAAGGUUUUGCAGGCUAGGAUAUGCAUGUGGUUCAAGUGAUUUUCAUGGGAUGACUUUAAUCUUGCCUUGUCUUCUGUUCUAGGCCUCUUCUUUCCAGCUGUAAUCAGGCCUAUGUUGGACUCGUUUGAAUCAUCCAAGCAAGUAUCGCUGCUUGCUUUAAAUGAU
rnacentral:lncRNA from 1 species